rnacentral:rRNA from 1 species
UACAGAGGGUGCAAGCGUUGUUCGGAAUUAUUGGGCGUAAAGCGCGUGUAGGCGGCCAAGCAAGUCGGGUGUGAAAGCCCUCAGCUUAACUGAGGAAGUGCGCCCCGAAACUACGUGGCUUGAGUACCAGAGAGGGUGGCGGAAUUCCUGGUGUAGAGGUGAAAUUCGUAGAUAUCAGGAGGAACACCGGUGGCGAAGGCGGCCACCUGGACG